rnacentral:tRNA from 2 species
AGGGGAGUAGCUCAAUUGGUAGAGCACCGGACUCCAAAUCCGGGUGCUGUGGGUUCAAGUCCUAUCUCCCCUG